GACAGAGGCCUCAAGCGUUAGGCGGAAUCACUGGGCUUAAAGCGUGUGUAGGUGGAUCGGUAAGUACCUUGUGAAAUCCCACGACUCAAUCGUGGAACUGCUUGGUAUACUGCCAGUCUUGAGGCACUCAGGGGCAAGCGGAACAGAUGGUGGAGCGGUGAAAUGCGUAGAUAUCAUCUGGAACGCCAAUGGUGAAGACAGCUUGCUGGGGGUGUUCUGACACUGAGACACGAAAGCCAGGGGAGCAAACGGG
rnacentral:rRNA from 1 species